rnacentral:misc_RNA from 1 species
ACUUUUUACACAUUUCCAAAAUAUUACUCAUCAACAAAAUCUACUAUAACCCGACACACAAAUCCCUACUAUUAUUUCCAUUACCAAAUAAAUAAAUUAAACCCAAAAAAAAUACCUAACAUAAAAUAAUCUAAUAAAACUAAUUCAAUCAAAAUUCUAACUACUACUUCUCCUAACAAUAACUCACAAUAUCACAACUACUAAAAAAUAAAUCUUAAUCAA